GAUGAACGCUGGCGGCGUGCUUAACACAUGCAAGUCGAACGAUGAUGCCCAGCUUGCUGGGUGGAUUAGUGGCGAACGGGUGAGUAACACGUGAGUAACCUGCCCUUGACUCUGGGAUAAGCCUGGGAAACUGGGUCUAAUACCGGAUACGACCAUCUGGCGCAUGUUAUGGUGGUGGAAAGCUUUUGUGGUUUUGGAAGGACUCGCGGCCUAUCAGCUUGUUGGUGGGGUAAUGGCCUACCAAGGCGACGACGGGUAGCCGGCCUGAGAGGGUGACCGGCCACACUGGGACUGAGACACGGCCCAGACUCCUACGGGAGGGAGCAGUGGGGAAUAUUGCACAAUGGGCGCAAGCCGGAUGCAGCGACGCCGCGUGAGGGAUGAAGGCCUUCGGGUUGUAAACCUCUUUCAGUAGGGAAGAAGCGAAAUUGACGGUACCUGCAUAAGAAGCGCCGGCUAACUACGUG
rnacentral:rRNA from 1 species